rnacentral:rRNA from 1 species
UACCUACGGGGGGCAGCAGUGGGGAAUCUUGCGCAAUGGGCGAAAGCCUGACGCAGCAACGCCGCGUGAGUGAAGAAGGCCUUCGGGUUGUAAAACUCUGUCCUGGGGGAAGAAAAAAAUGACGGUACCCCGGGAGGAAGCCCCGGCUAACUACGUGCCAGCAGCCGCGGUAAAACGUAGGGGGCAAGCGUUGUCCGGAAUUACUGGGCGUAAAGGGCGUGUAGGCGGCCAUAAAAGUCAGGGGUGAAAACCUGCGGCUCAACCGCGGGACUGCCUAUGAAACUUUAUGGCUUGAGGACAGGAGAGGGAAGUGGAAUUCCCAGUGUAGCGGUGAAAUGCGUAGAUAUUGGGAGGAACACCAGUGGCGAAGGCGGCUUCCUGGCCUGGACCUGACGCUGAGGCGCGAAAGCGUGGGGAGCAAACAGGAUUAGAUACCCGUGUAGUCC